rnacentral:lncRNA from 1 species
AAGCCCAUGACGGGUGAUAACCGAGGCUCCGUACUAACCUGAGUAGGUGACAGUAUGGACAAUUCGAGUACCUUUCCGAACCUCUGUCGUUGAAUAGUCACCAAAAUAAGUACACGGGAGAAACGCCUCUUACCUUUUAUUUCUUUUACAUUUACACUUAUUUGCAAAUGAAUUGAGUCUGUUUAAUAAAUUGGGUCGGAUAGAUUGUGUGAUGGUAUGUGGGGUAGGUUUUUGUAAAGCAUGUUGGGG